AUGUAUAACUCUUAUAAAUGUCUCCAAUGCCUCCAGAAUGAUCUUUGUGUUUUACACAGAAGGAAACUGAGGUCCCAAAAACUUGAAAAAAAAAAUUCCAAUGGCACAGGAUUAGCCAAUGGCACAGUGAAGCCAAGAAUUCAGGUCUCGGUAACCCUGAAUCAGAGAUUCCCCGAUACAGACAAAAUCCUUCCCAUGUUCAGUAAGCACUUACCACCUGCAGCCCUGGUGCUGCCUGAAGUUUGCUGAGUGCAGCUGUCAGCAUCUUGUCAACUUAGCUGGAUCAAGCUUCACAGAUGCUGGUGCAGUUCAAGGUGAGACGUCUCCUCCGGCAGAUUGAGAAGCAGUCUCCUUGGAGAGAGGGGACAACACACAGGUAAGAUUCUCCCCAAUUGUGCUUAUUCCGGCUAGUACCUGGCAAGGAGCUGCUCGCACAUCUGUCUCCCUAUGAAAUCGCAAUCCCAUUGAAGGCAGUGCCUCUGACUCUAAUAAUUUAUAAUUAGUUUCUUUCAUUUUAGUUAUCUUUAUGUCCCCCAAAACAAAGCCGCUCAUUGCCAGUCCGCUUAGAAAGCAAAAUCAUUGAAACUCUGAUUAGAUCACACUGCUGCCUGCACCUUCCUUCCCUUACAGCUCACAGCGUCGUUCUUGACAGGACGUCUCCAGCCAGGGUUACUUACUGGCCCAGCUUCCUCUCUGGCUUUCCUUGUGCCUCGCCCUCCUCUGAGCAGCCUGUUUGGUUAUGCCUCACUUAUUUGAACAUUGUUUUUUCUAACCAUGAUGCCCUUCUCUGUCUACAUCUGGUAAAUUAGCCCGACUUCAAAACCACUUUUCAAUGCCUCCUCGUCCCUACUAAGUUCACGAUCUGGGUUCCCAUCAGGCUUUGUAAUGUCGUGAUUUGUCUACUAAUGUCAUCUCUGAAUUUCUUGGGAGGUGCAGAGACCCAACUAUCUAGGUGCCACAAUAAGGCUGUGGGUCAUCAGAAAUGCAGAUCACACCUAUUAGGGAGCGUCAACCACUUUGCGUUCCCUGACUGUAAAUCUUGACUUUAGACAGAGAGGCCCUUUGUGUUCAUUUACUAUCAAGCACCUAAUACAUGCUAUGCAUGGUUUCAGUUACUGCAGACAGAGCAGUAAGCCAGGGCCCAAAGCAGAACACAGGAAAGAGCAAAGAGGUUUAAGAAGAGUGUCCAAACAUUAGCCUGGGGUUGGUUAGGUGUUAAAUCCCUGACUUUAUAGAGAAUGUGUGGAAAGGUGAUGGGGAAACAAAGCUUUGGGUUGAAAAAAAAAAAAAAACUGAUUCUGGCGAGGAAAAUCCUGCAUUCUCACCCCCAACUCUGAUGCUGGUUGUUAAAGGACAUAUAUCAAAGUUGCUCUUUAAGGGGUAAAUUCACUUCAGUGGGGAGGGGAGUAUCGCCACUCCUCUGUGAGCAUUGGCCUUGUAGUGCCCCAUUGUGAGAUACUUGUGUUGCAUGGGAGAUAAUCAGGCCAAUGACUUCUUAAAGCCAGGGAUGAAAACACCAACAGUUUUAUAGAGUUUCUGAGCACUAAAUCACUUAAAGACCUAAAAAUAAGCUUUGCAACAAAGAGAUCACAUUUGAAACAUAGCAAUGCUUUGAGAAGCACAGAUAGGACUUGAGUGUGAUGCAGUCAUUAACCGGGAGAUUGCUGACGGGUUUGCUUUCAAAUCCAGUACGGGAGCUCAGCACAGUUUGAGCAUUCCUAAUCCAAAAAUCUGAGAUCCUCCAAAACCUGUAACUUUUUGAGGUCCAACCACAAGCAAAAAUUCCACACCAUGAAACUUUGCUUCAUGCACAAAAUUAUUAAAAAUACUGGGGUGGACAUUUGGCACAAUGAAUAAGACUCCCUUUGGGAUGUCUGCAGCCCUUAUCAGACUGCCCGAGUUCAAGACCUCACAUUGAUCCUGAUAACAAAUUUCUGCUGUGGGCACCUCAGAAAGAAACAGGUGAUGGCUCAAUUAGUUGGGGGUCCCUUCUACCCAUGUAGGAGACCUAGACUGGGUUCUCAGCUCCCAGAUUCAGGCUGGCCCAGCCCUGGCUGUUACAGUUAUUUGGAAGAGAGCCAGUGGAAGAACACUUUCUGUCUCUCUCUAUGUCUGCCUUUUAAAUAAACAUUUUUCAUUACUUAAAAUACUGUAUAAA
ensembl:lncRNA